ACGCUCGACACCUACGGAGGCAGCAGUGGGGGAUAUUGCACAAUGGGGGAAACCCUGAUGCAGCAACGCCGCGUGAAGGAAGAAGGUCUUCGGAUUGUAAACUUCUGUCCUCAGGGAAGAUAAUGACGGUACCUGAGGAGGAAGCUCCGGCUAACUACGUGCCCGCAGCCGCGGUAAUCUGAGCGGGCGUGGCGAAGGC
rnacentral:rRNA from 1 species